UGACAUUGUUGGAAAACAAAAAAGAUAAUCUACAGACCCAGAGAAAACAUUUGCGAAUCACAUACCUGAGAAAGGACUUCUAUCCAAAAUAUAUAAAUCACCUUCAAAACUAAACUGCAAUAAAAAGCAACUCCCAGAAUUGACCAAUCACCUAAGAGAGUAGGAAGAGCUUGCACUCCUUCAGACCAAUCAGUAGCCACAUGAGUAUUGGAUUCCCCACCCUAUCACAGACAACCUCCAAUCAGCCUAUAGUAAUAGAAAGGCAAGAUAGGAGGCGGGUCCAGCAUGGUCUCCACGGUAACCCAUGGCGGGUUGGAGUGACGGAGAGCCUCCUUGUACCCAGAUCCAGAUGCCCUGAUGGGAGGCGUUUGAAAUUUUGCAGGACAAGCCCCCCAGAGACCACAUGUGCCUGUCCAUUUGUGCCUUACUCCUGUGUUUUCCCAUAGGCAUUGUAGCCUUGAUCUUCUCUCUCCAGACAAGGCACAGCAACAAGUGGAAUAACCGAGCCUUGGCAGCUGAGACGUCCCAGCAAGUCUACUACAUGGCAGUCUUGGGGAUUGUCUUGGGAAGCAUCAUCACACUCGCCAUCUUGAUUUUCCUCCUGGUGGACUUAUUUUCUCGUUAACCUCCUUUUCAGCAAACCACUAAAAAUAUAUAACAGUGUUACAUA